rnacentral:tRNA from 1 species
GGCAACAUGGCCGAGUGGUCUAAGGCGCUGGAAUUAGGCUUUAAGUUCUAUCCAGUCCUCCGGGGCGAGGGUUCGAACCCCUCUGUUGUCA